rnacentral:rRNA from 1 species
GACGAACGCUGGCGGCGUGCCUAAUACAUGCAAGUCGAACGAAGCUGUUUUAACUGGUGCUUGCACCGACUUAAACAACUGAGUGGCGAACGGGUGAGUAACACGUGGGUAACCUGCCCCAAAGCGGGGGAUAACAUUUGGAAACAGAUGCUAAUACCGCACAAUCACAGAAACCACAUGGUUUCUGUGUCAAAGAUAGUUUCGGCUAUCACUUUGGGAUGGACCCGCGGUGUAUUAGCUAGUUGGUAAGGUAAUGGCUUACCAAGGCAAUGAUACGUAGCCGAACUGAGAGGUUGAUCGGCCACAUUGGGACUGAGACACGGCCCAAACUCCUACGGGGGGCAGCAGUAGGGAAUCUUCCACAAUGGACGAAAGUCUGAUGGAGCAACGCCGCGUGAGUGAAGAAGGUUUUCGGAUCGUAAAACUCUGUUGUCAGAGAAGAACGUGUGCGAGAGUAACUGUUCGUGCAGUGACGGUAUCUGGCCAGAAAGCCACGGCUAACUACGUGCCAGCCGCCGCCGUAA